AGCGAACGCUGGCGGCAGGCCUAACACAUGCAAGUCGAACGAACCUUUCGGGGUUAGUGGCGGACGGGUGAGUAACACGUGGGAACGUGCCUUUAGGUUCGGAGUAACUCAGGGAAACUUGUGCUAAUACCGAAUGUGCCCUUCGGGGGAAAGAUUUAUCGCCUUUAGAGCGGCCCGCGUCUGAUUAGCUAGUUGGUUGAGGUAAUGGCUCACCAAGGCGACGAUCAGUAGCUGGUCUGAGAGGAUGAUCAGCCACAUUGGGACUGAGACACGGCCCAAACUCCUACGGGAGGCAGCAGUGGGGAAUCUUGCGCAAUGGGCGAAAGCCUGACGCAGCCAUGCCGCGUGAAUGAUGAAGGUCUUAGGAUUGUAAAAUUCUUUCUCCGGGGACGAUAAUGACGGUACCCGGAGAAGAAGCCCCGGCUAACUUCGUG
rnacentral:rRNA from 1 species